rnacentral:rRNA from 1 species
UGGGGAAUAUUGCACAAUGGGCGAAAGCCUGAUGCAGCAACGCCGCGUGAGGGACGACGGCCUUCGGGUUGUAAACCUCUUUUAGCAAGGAAGAAGCGAAAGUGACGGUACUUGCAGAAAAAGCGCCGGCUAACUACGUGCCAGCAGCCGCGGUAAUACGUAGGGCGCAAGCGUUAUCCGGAAUUAUUGGGCGUAAAGAGCUCGUAGGCGGUUUGUCGCGUCUGCUGUGAAAACCCGAGGCUCAACCUCGGGCCUGCAGUGGGUACGGGCAGACUAGAGUGCGGUAGAGGAGAUUGGAACUCCUGGUGUAGCGGUGGAAUGCGCAGAUAUCAGGAAGAACACCGAUGGCGAAGGCAGAUCUCUGGGCCGUAACUGACGCUGAGGAGCGAAAGGGUGGGGAGCAAACAGGCUUAGAUACCCUGGUAGUCCACCCCGUAAACGUUGGGAACUAGUUGUGGGGUCCAUUCCACGGAUUCCGUGACGCAGCUAACGCAUUAAGUUCCCCGCCUGGGGAGUACGGCCGCAAGGCUAAAACU